AUUUAAAUAACUUAAGGAAAGUAUUAUAUUGAAGAUAUAAAAAUGAUAUAAAUAUAUCUUUAAAUA
rnacentral:tRNA from 1 species